rnacentral:rRNA from 1 species
UUCAGAGGCGGCGAGCGUUGUUCGGAAUCACUGGGCAUAAAGGGCGCGUAGGUGGUCAGGCAGGUUGGGGGUGAAAUCCCCGGGCUCAACCCGGGAAACGCCUCCAAAACCUCCUGGCUGGAGCGGAACAGGGGAGAGUGGAACUCGUGGUGGAGCGGUGAAAUGCGUAGAUAUCACGAGGAACGCCGGCGGUGAAGACGACUCUCUGGGUUCCUGCUGACACUGAGGCGCGAAAGCUGGGGGAGCAAACGGG